rnacentral:rRNA from 1 species
GACGAACCGUGCAAACGUUAUUCGGAAUCACUGGGCUUAAAGCGUGCGUAGGCGGCUAAGCAAUUUGGGUGUGAAAUCCCUCGGCUCAACCGAGGAAUUGCUCUCAAAACUACUUAGCUUGAGGGAGUUAGAGGUGAGCGGAACUAAUGGUGGAGCGGUGAAAUGCGUUGAUAUCAUUAGGAACACCGGUGGCGAAAGCGGCUCACUGGGACUCUUCUGACGCUGAGGCACGAAAGCUAGGGGAGCGAACGGG